GCCGCCCCCUAACGAAUUCGCAGCAAGUGCCAUGACCGUGGGCAAGUUGGGGCGGCCGGAGUUGGGUGGCUGGGAGGGCGAACACCGGGCUCAGGCGAGGCCUUCUGACCCCACGACUCCCCAGGCUUUCCAGCUGCAUGCUUCCAACGCCGACAGGGGGCGCCACGCAUUGAGGCGCUCGCGCUCUUCGAGGCCGGCGGCGUCAAAGAAACGUUUCUAUUGGCCCUUGCCGGUAAGUGUGCUUUUUGCUGAUUGGAGGAAGGCACGUUGGGGGGCGGAGCCGGGUUAGGAGGGUCGUGGCGGAACCCUGCCUCGUGGUCUGACCCUGGGAACUUUUCUCGGGCCCCUUUGUGGGAUCGGCCUGGUUCGGAUGCUCUCCCAAAGUCAGGCUCACGCCCCUCGCCGCAAGGGGGGAAACAAGGCAAGAUCGGGGUGCGGGGGGGUUACCUGGACUGAAGACCAAGCCCCAGGGAGACGCUCCCCAGGCUUAUUUCCGUCCUGUCCUCGCCCUUGCUCGAGCCAGGCCGAUGGGGUGCCGCUGGGCACGUCCACACGGACCCACGUGAAAACCGUCGGCCGACUCCGGACUCAGGACCGGGACCGGGACCGCGGAAAUAAAAACAUCGAGCCCCGGGAGCCGCCUGAGAAGACUUUCGGAGUGUAGGCCCGCCCCGCCGUGGCAGUUUUUAAGUGUCCAGGGGGGCGGAUCCUUCCCCCAAGCCUGACCUGUGACCUCUUCCCACAAACACACGAAAGCCAAGUUGCUGCGCUAAGAGAGGCGCCGGACGGUGCAGGGUCGGAGCUCGACGCUGGAGCCUGAUGGCUGGCUUCAAACCCAGCUCCGCAGGCAGUUGGUAUUUGGCUGAUGUCUACUCAUGUGCUUUUUCCAUCAUCAUCACUGCAGAGGGAAAGAUGGGGGAAGAGGAAAUAAGAAGGAGGUCUUCGUGGAGCCACGAGUUCUGGAACACACUCUGGAUCGACACGGGUGCUCAGCCACAGGACACUUGGGAAAGGCAUCACCAAUGGCAAGUGCCAAUGAAUCCUCCUGAAUCCUCCUCUGGUAGAAAACAUGGCUUCCCACCGCUGAGCCUCUGUGACCCAGGACUACUUUCAAUGGAGAGGAAUCCAUUGGGGAUGAACGGAACACAACCACAGUCCUCUUGCCAAAAAUGUAGAGGAAGGACUUUAGGAACUAGUGAAAUUAUUUUACUCAUCAUAAAAAGGAUGAGAUGUUUUUUAAAGAACUGUUUUAAUGACAGGUUUAACAUUUUUAUCUGGAUCACAAACACACAUGCACCUGCACACUUCAAUACAUUCAUAAAAACCGAAGAGCAAUACAAAGCCUUGAAUAAAGCAGCAGCUGGCAUA